rnacentral:rRNA from 1 species
UACAGAGGGCUCAAGCGUUGUUCGGAUUCAUUGGGCGUAAAGGGUGCGCAGGCUGUGUGGUAAGUCAGGUGUGAAAUUUAGAGGCUCAACCUCUAAACUGCACUUGAUACUGCCACGCUAGAGGACUGUAGAGGAGAUUGGAAUUCACGGUGUAGCAGUGAGAUGCGUAGAUAUCGUGAGGAAGACCAGUGGCGAAGGCGAAUCUCUGGGCAGUUCCUGACGCUCAUGCACGAAGGCUAGGGGAGCAAACGGG